GUGCUUAACACAUGCAAGUCGAACGGAAAGGCCUCUUCGGAGGUACUCGAGUGGCGAACGGGUGAGUAACACGUGGGUAAUCUGCCCUGCACUUCGGGAUAAGCCUGGGAAACUGGGUCUAAUACCGAAUAUGACCACGAGGCGCAUGCCAUGUGGUGGAAAGCUUUUGCGGUGUGGGAUGGGCCCGCGGCCUAUCAGCUUGUUGGUGGGGUGACGGCCUACCAAGGCGACGACGGGUAGCCGGCCUGAGAGGGUGUCCGGCCACACUGGGACUGAGAUACGGCCCAGACUCCUACGGGAGGCAGCAGUGGGGAAUAUUGCACAAUGGGCGCAAGCCUGAUGCAGCGACGCCGCGUGGGGGAUGACGGCCUUCGGGUUGUAAACCUCUUUCAGCAGGGACGAAGCGCAAGUGACGGUACCUGCAGAAGAAGCACCGGCCAACUACGUGCCAGCAGCCGCGGUAAUACGUAGGGUGCGAGCGUUGUCCGGAAUUACUGGGCGUAAAGAGCUCGUAGGUGGUUUGUCGCGUUGUUCGUGAAAA
rnacentral:rRNA from 6 species